GGGCUUGUGGUGUAGUGGCUGCAUUCUCCCCUCCGGAGGGAGCGGUCCCAGGUUCGAUCCCUGGCUGGCUCG
rnacentral:tRNA from 1 species